CGGGACGGGUGGAGUAAUAGUCGUGGGAAACGUACUCGAUGGCGGGGGAUAACUACUGGAAACGGUAGCUAAUACCGCAUAAUGUCUACGGACCAAAGCGGGGGACCUCCGGGCCUCGCGCCAUCAGAUGAACCCAUAUGGGAUUAGCUUGUAGGUAAGGUAACGGCUUACCUAGGCGACGAUCCCUAGCUGGUCUGAGAGGAUGAUCAGCCACACUGGGACUGAGACACGGCCCAG
rnacentral:rRNA from 1 species